rnacentral:rRNA from 1 species
UGCAGUCGAACGGCAGCACGGAGCUUGCUCUGGUGGCGAGUGGCGAACGGGUGAGUAAUAUAUCGGAACGUACCCUAGAGUGGGGGAUAACGUAGCGAAAGUUACGCUAAUACCGCAUACGAUCUAAGGAUGAAAGUGGGGGAUCGCAAGACCUCAUGCUCGUGGAGCGGCCGAUAUCUGAUUAGCUAGUUGGUAGGGUAAAAGCCUACCAAGGCAUCGGUCAGUAGCUGGUCUGAGAGGACGACCAGCCACACUGGAACUGAGACACGGUCCAGACUCCUACGGGAGGCAGCAGUGGGGAAUUUUGGACAAUGGGCGAAAGCCUGAUCCAGCAAUGCCGCGUGAGUGAAGAAGGCCUUCGGGUUGUAAAGCUCUUUUGUCAGGGAAGAAACGGUGAAAGCUAAUAUCUUUUGCUAAUGACGGUACCUGAAGAAUAAGCACCGGCUAACUACGUGCCAGCAGCCGCGGUAAUACGUAGGGUGCAAGCGUUAAUCGGAAUUACUGGGCGUAAAGCGUGCGCAGGCGGUUUUGUAAGUCUGAUGUGAAAUCCCCGGGCUCAACCUGGGAAUUGCAUUGGAGACUGCAAGGCUAGAAUCUGGCAGAGGGGGGUAGAAUUCCACGUGUAGCAGUGAAAUGCGUAGAUAUGUGGAGGAACACCGAUGGCGAAGGCAGCCCCCUGGGUCAAGAUUGACGCUCAUGCACGAGAGCGUGGGGAGCAAACAGGAUUAGAUACCCUGGUAGUCCACGCCCUAAACGAUGUCUACU